UCUUGACAUCCAGAGGAACUUGGCAGAGACUGGCCCUGGGUGCCUUCGGGACCUCUGAGACAGGUGCUGCAUGGCUGUCGUCAACUCGUGUUGUGAAAUGUUGGGUUAAGUCCGCAACGAGCGCAACCCCUAUCCUUUGUUGCCAGCGAUUCGGUCGGGAACUCAAAGGAGACUGCCGGUGAUAAACCGGAGGAAGGUGGGGAUGACGUCAAGUCAUCAUGGCCCUUACGAGUAGGGCUACACACGUGCUACAAUGGCGCAUACAAAGAGAAGCGACCUCGCGAGAGCAAGCGGACCUCAUAAAGUGCGUCGUAGUCCGGAUCGGAGUCUGCAACUCGACUCCGUGAAGUCGGAAUCGCUAGUAAUCGUAGAUCAGAAUGCUACGGUGAAUACGUUCCCGGGCCUUGUACACACCGCCCGUCACACCAUGGGAGUGGGUUGCAAAAGAAGUAGAUAGCUUAACCUUCGGGAGGGCGUUUACCACUUUGUGAUUCAUGACUGGGGUGAAGUCGUAACAAGGUAAGCGUAGACGU
rnacentral:rRNA from 1 species